rnacentral:Y_RNA from 1 species
AGUGCAGUGGUGUCUUACAACUAAUUGAUCACAGCCAGUUACAGAUUUCUUUGUUCCUUCUCCACUCCCACUGCUUCACU